CUAUGCGCCUUGCCAGCCCGCUCAGGGGUGCCAGCCGCCGCGGUAAUACGUAGGGGGCAAGCGUUAUCCGGAUUUACUGGGUGUAAAGGGAGCGUAGGUGGCAUGGUAAGCCAGAAGUGAAAACCCAGGGCUCAACUCUGUGGAUUGCUUUUGGAACUAUCAAGCUAGAGUGCUGGAGGGGUAAGCGGAAUUCCUAGUGUAGCGGUGAAAUGCGUAGAUAUUAGGAGGAACACCGGUGGCGAAGGCGGCUUACUGGACAGAAACUGACACUGAGGCUCGAAAGCGUGGGGAGCAAACAGG
rnacentral:rRNA from 1 species